GUGCAUUGUGUUUGGCCACAUUCUCUUCAUGAAGGACACUUUGUGUCCAGGGCCAGGUUCACCUUCACUGCUUAUACAGGGAGAGGCAGAGUGAGGAGCACGGGAGAGAAAGAAUAGAGAGAGGAACUUUAAAGAGAGGUGAGACAGGGAGAUUAAGAGAACGUGGGACAGCAAUUGAGAGAGACAGAUAGUGAAAGGUGACAGGGGACAGAGAGAGAGAGAGAGAGAGAGAAAGAGAGAAAGAAAGAAAGAAAGAAGUGUGUCCUUCACGCUCAUUUUGAGCACCUGUGGAGUAUAACCCUUUCUUCAAAGACAAACGUGUUGGUCAGGGGUUCACCAUGGCAACCAAGACGCUGAUGACACGGGUCCAGGAAGAGCAGUCCCACCAGAUGUCCCACAGCAUGGCGCUGGCCUCGCUGAUCAAGUAGAAAACCUUCACCUCCAGGUAAAGGCACCCUGGUACACACCCCCUGCUUCCUCAUCAUAACAUAGAUCAUGUUUAUCCAAUGCUUAUUAUAAAAACAUUGAUAUAAUAAAUAAAGAAUUUUCAGAAGAGAUCUAGUUGAAUAUGGUGUUCUGUAUAUACAGUAUAUAUACAAAAGUAUGUUGAAAUUCAAAUCAGUGGAUUGAUUAUUUCAGCCACACCUGUUGCUGACAGGUGUAUAAAAUCGAGCACACAGCCAUGCAAUCUCCAUAGACAAACAUUGACAGUAGAAUGGCCUUCCUGAAGAGCUCAGUGACUUUCAACGUGGCACCGUCACAGGAUGCCACCUUUCCAACAAGUCAGUUCAUCAAAUUUCUGCCCUGCUAGAGCUGACCCGAUCAACUGUAAGUGCUGUUAUUGUGAAGUGGAAACGUCUAGGAGCAACAACGGCUCAGUCGCGAUGUGGUAGACCACACAAGCUCACAGAAUGGGACCGCUGAGUGCUGAAGCGCGUAAUGCGUAAAAAUCAUCUGUCCUCAGUUUUCCAUGGCCAAGCAGCCACGCGCAAACCUAAGAUCGCCUAGCACUUUGCCAAGCGUUGGCUGGAAUGGUGUAAAGCUCUCCGCCAUUGGACUCUGAAGCAGUGGAAACGCAUUCUCUGGAGUAAUGUAUUAUGCUUCAUCAUCUGGCAGUCCGACUGACAAAUCUGGGUUUGGAGAACACUAAUGCAUAGUGCCAACUGUAAAGUUGGCUGGAGGAGGAAUGAUGGUCCGGGACUGUGAAGACAAAUCUUAGCGCUACAGCAUACAAGCCUUCCCAGACAAGUGGAGGCUGUUAUAGCAGCAAAGGGGGACCAACUCCCCGAUCUUGGAAUGAGAUGUACGACAAAGCAUGUGUCCACAUACUUCUGGCAAUGUAGUGUAUCAUACACUUACUUUAUGGAAACCUGUCCUGCAUUGGAGAAAAGUAGAUGUUGACCGUCCAAGUAUUAUGUUUUGAUCAUGUUCAUCCAGUGGAUGCAAAUACAAUUCUAAAGACCCAGUUUCCUUAGCACAAUAUAUCCUGUAAUUUAUUCAUCCACUUCAUUGAAAACUGCUUGCAUGGGAGUAAAGUACAGUCAAUGUUGACCAUCCAAGUAUUACUGUCUAUUACCGGAUAUGUGCAUAGCUAGACAGAUGAAAAGUGCCCUGUAUAUAAUGGAGCCCUGGUUUGUUGUGGGUUGUGGGAUGACAUUAGAGCUUUUAAACAAGGACAUGAGCGGGUGGCAGUUAUUCUGAGCUCAUUGAGACAGCAGCGCAGUGAUGCAGUGUGUGUCCGGAGUGUGUGAGUGUUUGCUUAAAGGCAGUAUUAGAGCUACACUUACGUGCAUCAACACGUGGUGCACACAAGUCAAUGUGGAUAAAGUUGCCUAUAGAUUUUAGAUUAGACUCGUACACUGUAUGCAGACUUGCACAUUCACAUACACACGUCAUUGAGACCCUCUCCAGAAAGAGAGACACGUUGCUGCUUGUAUUGAGAUACCUCCGGAUGAGCAGUCAACCUUGUCUGUCUCUCCCUGCCAAAGUCAGCCUUCAAUCCCCAGAACAGCCCUAAUUCACCACAGAGCUCACCCAUGCUCAUAUAAACACACACCAACCAACAUUGACUCAACGACUGCCCACACACUCCGCACACAAAUACUGCACACACAUGUACAGACAGAUGACUCACAUAUAAACACACACACACACACAUACACAAACACACCAUACCAUACAGAUACUGUACAUGUACCAUACACCAUACCAUUAUGUGUAUGGCACCGGAGGAGAUGGCUGCCGUUUUACGGGCUCUGAACCAAUUGUGCUAUUGUGUGUGUUUUUUUCACGUUAUUCAAAGCUUAUUUUGUACAUGCUGUUUCUGCCACCUUCUCUUAUGAUCUAAAAAAGCUUCUGGAUAUCAGGACAGCCAUUACUCACCUCGUACUGGAAGAAUAUUUUUUAUUUAGUGAGUCGAACGGGAAGGAUUUUCUUCAGACACCGGACAAGGCCCAAAUACUGGUCAUUCGCAUGAAGAAGAGACAGAGAUGUCGGGGAGCCUUGUAAGGAGCCAACGGCGAGUGGGUAAUCUGCCUCUACCAUCAGUCUUAUUAAUGUGCAAUCAUUGGAUAAUAAACUGGAUGAGUCCCUGCCAACGGGACAUUAAAAACUGUAAUAUCUUGUGUUUCACAGAGUCGUGGCUGAACAACGACAUGGAUAACAUAUAGCUGGCUGGGUUUUCCAUGCAUCGUCAAGAUGGAACAGCUGCCUCCGGUAAAACAAGGGGUGGCAGUCUGUGUCUAUUUGUAAACAGCAGUCAGCAAUCUAAUAAUGAGGAAGUCUCAAGAUUUUGCUCGCCUGAGGUAGAGUAUCUCAUGAUAAGCUGUAUACCACACUAUUUACCACCAACAACCGAUGCUGGCACUAAGACUCAAGAGCUGCAUAAGCCAUAAGCAAACAAGAAAAUGCUCAUCCAGAGGCGUCGCGCUUCUAGGGGUGGGGGACUUUAAUGGAGGGAAGCUUAAAUCAGUUUUACCUAAUUUCUACCAGCAUGUUACAUGUGCAACCAGGGGGAAAAAAACUCUAGACCAGUUUUAUUCCACACACAGAGACGCGUACAAAGCUCUCCUUCGCCCUCCAUUUGGCAAAGCUGAUCAUAACUCUAUCCUCCUGAUUCAUGCUUACAAGCAAAGACUAAAGCAGGAAGUACCAGUAACUCGCUCAAUACAGAAGUGGUCAGACGACGCAGAUGCUACGCUACAGGACUGUUAUGCUAGCACAGACUGGAAUAUGUUCCGGGAUUAUUCCGAUUGCAUUGAGGAGUACACCACAUCAGUCACUGACUUCGUCAAUAUGUGCAUCGAUGACGUCUUCCCCACAGUGACCAUAUGCCCCAAGAAGAAGCCAUGGAUUACAGGCAGCAUCUGCACUGAGCUAAAGGGCAGAGCUGCCUCUUUAAAGCGGGACUCUAACCCGGACGCUUAUGAGAAAUCCUGCUAUGCCCUCCGACGAACCAUCAAACAUGCAAAGCAUUAAUACAGCACUAAGCUUGACUCGUACUACAUUGGUGCCGACGCUCGUCGGAUGUGGCAGGGCUUGCAAACUACUAUGGACUACAAAGGGAAGCACAGCCAUGAGCUGCCCAUUAACACGAGCCUACCAGACGAGCUAAACUACUUCUAUUCCC
ensembl:lncRNA